AGGCGAGGAACUGAUUGCUGUGCUCACCUUUGACCACCCAGCUCACCUGUGACCACCCAGCUGGAGACAACAGACCUGCCACCCUGCUGUGUUCACUGAGACAGAAGACCUACCUGCUGUGUCCAUCAAUCCACAGUCUCGCGACUAUUGUAAAAGGACAUUUCAAUCAUAUGUGAACCAUCCUGUUUGGGGAACCAUCUCCCCUCCUCCACAAACAGAAGAAAGAGGAAGAGCUGGGAAGGGGAGAAGUGCCCAGGGAAAGCAGUCCAGUCCCUGAAGUUUCACCCAGGUUGGGGUGGAAGGGGCAGGCAGGGCCAGCUUCUCCUCUUGGCUCUGAGGCAGCUCCAAGCCAUCAUUUAAGCCCAGCAGUUAUUUUGGAUGUGAUGUUUUUGAAGGCCAUGGAGGUACUAAGUACCCUCUUAAUUUGAAUACCAAACAGAGAACACUGGGACAGUCUGCAUAACUCCAACCUCCACUACAUGAAGUCUGCUCGGCUGGCAUGCCAUGCAAACACACCAGUAUGUACUUCUUGCACUGCUCCCACCCACAGCUUUGAGCGCCGCCCUGGCCCACCUCCCACCCUAUGUCAUCGGCUCCAUGGAACUCAUGAUG
rnacentral:lncRNA from 1 species